ensembl:Mt_tRNA
GUAAGUAUAGUUUCAACUAAAAUAUUAGGCUGUGGUUCUAAAGACAGGAGUUAAAACCUCCUUACUCACC